UGGGGCGAGGCACCGUCGACAUUUUUUGCAGGUUGCAGGCAGGCCUCGCUGCCCGUUGCACCAGCGUGGCCCCGCUCAGAUAGUCGCGCGUGCUCCUGCUGCUGUGGGUGAAACUUUGAGAGAUGGCUGGGCGCGACCCUCAACAGGCGGAGGCGUUUUUCGGCAGCCGCAGGCUGGACCCCGAAGAUGGGACACCUGCCUCUUCAAGGUUACAACUGUUUACCUUCCGGCUUUCCCUCUCUGAAGAACCGUGAGACAUCACCUUUGUCCUUUUGAGAUACGGCCUUCAGAAUUGGAUCAAAACAUACCUCAGUUGCUUCAGUCUACGGCAUGUUCUGAAAAGGUGUUGAAACUUGAACUUCAAGAGGAUUGUGGAUCAGAGAACAUCCAUCCAUAUGUACCAUCAAUGCCGUGUUGAUACUUGAACUGAAUGUGCAAACUCUGCCUAGUCAGUGGACAUGGAGACAGAAACGGCACAGAGGGAUCAAAUGACACUGCAGGUACAGAAGGAUUAGAGCUUCUUUGGAUCAAAUCAUUUUCUUUGGAUCGUGGCUGGAAGAUCAGAUGCAGUCGCUAGAUACAACCUUAUGGGAUGUUGUUAUAGCCAUGUGUGAAGCUUUUCCCUGUCCCAAGACAGCCCGCUCCCUAGCUGCACCAAGAUUCAGAAUGUUAUGAAUGACCCUUUGUAGUCAGCGCGUGGAUGAACAUUCUAUGACAUCACAGCAGUUCAUCUUGUGCUGAGGAGUUGGCAUGAGCGCACCAAAGAACUGGCUUGAUGUGAGUCAAGAAAUGCAAGAUGAACAGAAAAAUGAUCGCCAAAACUUGCAGUCUUGGAAGCAAGCAAGAAGAGUCUGCCCCUGCGACGGGGCAGGUUCCUUCCACAUGUCUUUUUUUUCCCCCUUUCUUUGGUAAAAUGUGAGAAUAAUAAAUGAUCAACCAAUCCCCUUCCAUGCAGCCACAUGUGAGAUCAGCUUCAUAUCCCCAUCUCUUCCCUGCUAAUAGAGUCAGAGUAUACUUGAGUAGUAUGUUGAGUUUUCCAGCACAUUUUGUGUUGAAAAGCCCCCUCGACUUUAUACACGAAGCC